AUUGAACGCUGGCGGCAUGCCUUACACAUGCAAGUCGAACGGCAGCACGGGGCAACCUGGUGGCGAGUGGCGAACGGGUGAGUAAUGCAUCGGAACGUACCUUUCAGUGGGGGAUAACGUAGCGAAAGUUACGCUAAUACCGCAUAUUCUGUGAGCAGGAAAGCAGGGGAUCGCAAGACCUUGCGCUGAUUGAGCGGCCGAUGUCAGAUUAGCUAGUUGGUGAGGUAAAGGCUCACCAAGGCGACGAUCUGUAGCGGGUCUGAGAGGAUGAUCCGCCACACUGGAACUGAGAAACGGUCCAGAGUCCUACGGGAGGCAGCAGUGGGGAAUUUUGGACAAUGGGGGCAACCCUGAUCCAGCCAUGCCGCGUGAGUGAAGAAGGCCUUCGGGUUGUAAAGCUCUUUCGGCCGGGAAGAAAUCGCACGGGCUAAUACCCUGUGUGGAUGACGGUACCGGAAUAAGAAGCACCGGCUAACUACGUGCCAGCAGCCGCGGUAAUAC
rnacentral:rRNA from 1 species